UACGAAGGGGGCUAGCGUUGUUCGGAUUUACUGGGCGUAAAGCGCACGUAGGCGGUUUGUUAAGUCGGGGGUGAAAUCCUGGAGCUCAACUCCAGAAUUGCCUUCGAUACUGGCUUUCUAGAGGCUGGAAGAGGUUAGUGGAAUUCCCAGUGUAGAGGUGAAAUUCGUAGAUAUUGGGAAGAACACCAGUGGCGAAGGCGGCUAACUGGGCCAGAACUGACGCUGAGGUGCGAAAGCGUGGGGAGCAAACAGG
rnacentral:rRNA from 1 species